UACGUAGGGUGCAAGCGUUGUUCGGAAUCAUUGGGCGUAAAGCGCGUGUAGGCGGUCAACUAAGUCGGGUGUGAAAUCCCUGGGCUCAACCGAGGAAGUGCAUCCGAAACUAGUUGGCUGGAAGACGGUAGAGGAAGGUGGAAUUCCUAGUGUAGAGGUGAAAUUCGUAGAUAUUAGGAGGAAUACCGGUGGCGAAGGCGGCCUUCUGGACCGUUCUUGACGCUGAGACGCGAAAGCGUGGGGAGCAAACAGG
rnacentral:rRNA from 1 species